UACAUGGGGUGCAAACGUUGCUCGGAAUUAUUGGGCGUAAAGCGCACGUAGGCGGUUCGUUAAGUCGGAUGUGAAAGCCCUCGGCUCAACUGAGGAAGUGCACCCGAAACUGGCGAGCUUGAGUACGAAAGAGGAUCGCGGAAUUCCCGGUGUAGAGGUGAAAUUCGUAGAUAUCGGGAGGAACACCGGUGGCGAAGGCGGGUCUCUGGGCCGAUACUGGACGCUGAGGCGCGAAGGCUAGGGGAGCGAACGGG
rnacentral:rRNA from 1 species